rnacentral:rRNA from 1 species
AGUGAACGCUGGCGGUAGGCCUAACACAUGCAAGUCGAACGGCAGCACAGUAAGAGCUUGCUCUUACGGGUGGCGAGUGGCGGACGGGUGAGGAAUACAUCGGAAUCUACUUUUUCGUGGGGGAUAACGUAGGGAAACUUACGCUAAUACCGCAUACGACCUACGGGUGAAAGCAGGGGAUCUUCGGACCUUGCGCGAUUGAAUGAGCCGAUGUCGGAUUAGCUAGUUGGCGGGGUAAAGGCCCACCAAGGCGACGAUCCGUAGCUGGUCUGAGAGGAUGAUCAGCCACACUGGAACUGAGACACGGGCCAGACGCCUACGGGAGGCAGCAGUGGGGAAUAUUGGAAAAUGGGCGCAAGCCUGAUCCAGCCAUACCGCGUGGGUGAAGAAGGCCUUCGGGUUGUAAAGCCCUUUUGUUGGGAAAGAAAAGCAGCAGGUUAAUACCCCGCUGUUCUGACGGUACCCAAAGAAUAAACACCGGCUAACUUCGU